rnacentral:rRNA from 1 species
UACGAAGGGGGCUAGCGUUGUUCGGAAUCACUGGGCGUAAAGGGCGCGUAGGCGGCCGAUCAAGUCGGGGGUGAAAGCCUGUGGCUCAACCACGGAAUUGCCUUCGAUACUGUUUGGCUUGAGACCGGAAGAGGUAAGUGGAACUGCGAGUGUAGAGGUGAAAUUCGUAGAUAUUCGCAAGAACACCAGUGGCGAAGGCGGCUUACUGGUCCGGUUCUGACGCUGAGGCGCGAAAGCGUGGGGAGCAAACAGG